CAUCUCCUUAAUCGGAGAGUUCCCUUCGGGGACAUUGGUGACAGGUGGUGCAUGGUUGUCGUCAGCUCGUGUCGUGAGAUGUUGGGUUAAGUCCCGCAACGAGCGCAACCCUUGUCUUUAGUUGCCAUCAUUAAGUUGGGCACUCUAGAGAGACUGCCAGGGAUAACCUGGAGGAAGGUGGGGAUGACGUCAAAUCAUCAUGCCCCUUAUGCUUAGGGCUACACACGUGCUACAAUGGGUAGUACAGAGGGUUGCCAAGCCGUAAGGUGGAGCUAAUCCCUUAAAGCUACUCUCAGUUCGGAUUGUAGGCUGAAACUCGCCUACAUGAAGCUGGAGUUACUAGUAAUCGCAGAUCAGAAUGCUGCGGUGAAUGCGUUCCCGGGUCUUGUACACACCGCCCGUCACACCACGGGAGUUGGAGACGCCCGAAGCCGAUUAUCUAACCUUUUGGAAGAAGUCGUCGAAGGUGGAAUCAAUAACUGGGGUGAAGUCGUAACAAGGUAGCCGGAUCGGAAGGUGCGGCUGGAUCACCUCCUUUCUAAGGA
rnacentral:rRNA from 1 species